UACAGAGGGUGCAAGCGUUGUUCGGAAUUAUUGGGCGUAAAGGGCUCGUAGGCGGUCUGUCGCGUCGGGAGUGAAAACUCAGGGCUUAACCCUGAGCCUGCUUCCGAUACGGGCAGACUAGAGGUAUGCAGGGGAGAACGGAAUUCCUGGUGUAGCGGUGGAAUGCGCAGAUAUCAGGAGGAACACCGGUGGCGAAGGCGGUUCUCUGGGCAUUAACUGACGCUGAGGAGCGAAAGCGUGGGGAGCGAACGGG
rnacentral:rRNA from 1 species